rnacentral:rRNA from 1 species
UACGUAGGGGGCAAGCGUUGUCCGGAUUUAUUGGGCGUAAAGAGCGUGUAGGCGGUUAUGCAGGUCCGCUGUGAAAACUGGAAGCUUAACCUCCAGACGUCGGUGGAAACCGUAUGACUAGAGUCCGGAAGAGGAGAGUGGAAUUCCUGGUGUAGCGGUGAAAUGCGCAGAUAUCAGGAAGAACACCCGUGGCUAAGGCGGCUCUCUAGUACGGUACUGACGCUGAGACGCGAAAGCGUGGGGAGCGAACAGG